GAUGAACGCUGGCGGCGUGCUUAACACAUGCAAGUCGAACGGAAAGGCCCAAGCUUGCUUGGGUACUCGAGUGGCGAACGGGUGAGUAACACGUGGGUGAUCUGCCCUGCGCUUCGGGAUAAGCCUGGGAAACUGGGUCUAAUACCGGAUAGGACGAUGGUUUGGAUGCCAUUGUGGAAAGUUUUUUCGGUGUGGGAUGAGCUCGCGGCCUAUCAGCUUGUUGGUGGGGUAAUGGCCUACCAAGGCGUCGACGGGUAGCCGGCCUGAGAGGGCGUACGGCCACAUUGGGACUGAGAUACGGCCCAGACUCCUACGGGAGGCAGCAGUGGGGAAUAUUGCACAAUGGGCGCAAGCCUGAUGCAGCGACGCCGCGUGGGGGAUGACGGCCUUCGGGUUGUAAACUCCUUUCGCUAGGGACGAAGCGUUUUUGUGACGGUACCUGGAGAAGAAGCACCGGCUAACUACGUG
rnacentral:rRNA from 1 species